GAACCAUGAAAACUUGGAUUAAGGGAAUUCUGGGAGCAAGGGCUCUUAGAAGCAGAAAAUUCCCAAACAACUAUCCCAUCGUCCCAGAGGACAUGAGCCCUGCGUUCUUCCCACCACCCGGCCUCUCAGAACAAACCAGGCCCUAGUGGGCAUCGGUCCACGCAGCCCCUGCCUUGGGGCCAGUUCUCUGUGCCUGGAACAGCAGAGGCGGGAAGGAAGGGGGAAGAGAGGGUGCACUUCUGAGCAAACCAAAAGAGCUGAGCGCCUCUCCUCCAGGCCCUGGGCUGCAGCCUUUGCCAAGAGAAAGAAGAAGGAAAAGAAAGCCAUUGAUGCCACAGGUCCGGGCAGCAGCCUGUGCUAUGAUGGUGUCUCCCAGUCACUAGAACCGGAAGCUUGGUCUGAGGCCUCCUCACCCCUGCUCUCCGCACUGCUCCGGAAAGGCCAGCGCAGCGUGGCACUCAGGUGAGGGGGGCCCUGUGCUGCGCUGUGGCCUCACUCCUUGGUCCCACCAGGCAUGGGUCUGCCUGAGUUCCCUGCAGCCCCACCAGUCAUCUCGCACCCUCACGGCUCCCCUCUCUGCACCCCUCCCCUCCUCCCUCCUUCCCUGGCCAGGGCACCCUCGUCCCUGAGGCCUCAGCUGAGACCACCUGCUGGGACUGGUGCCUCCCCUCUGCAGCUGCCACCCCACGGCAGGGGUGGGCGCAGCGUGGGUGCCCACCUCUGAGGCUGGGCUGGGUCUCACAGAGGCUGGAUCUUGGGCCAGUAUCCACUGGGAACAGCUGCUGAGCGCCCACUGCGGGUCUCAGCCCCUCACGUGCCUUCACUCCCCAAAUCCCGGCCACAGGGAUAGGAGGCGGGGUCUUGUCUGAUCAGCCUCACUUUUCAGAUCAUGAGACUGAGGCCCAGGGUGGCUAAAUUGCUUCCUCAAGGUGACACAGUGAGUGGCAGAGCUGGGACGGGACCCUGAGAGUCCGGCUCCAGAGGCCGUGUGCUGUCCCGUGAGGUCACACGGUCGCAGGAGGGGAAGGACAGACGGUCCGGGCCGCCAGCCCUGGGGGGUCUGGGGCACCAGGAGCCGGAGACCACCUGGCUCAACCCCUGAGCCGCAAGAGGGCACGUCCCUUGUUUCAGGAGCCCCCACAUACCCUAGACACAGAGAACACGCAGUCACACCCAGACAGGGAGCGCGGGCAGACCCCGCCACCCAGGCCGCUUCGCUUCAGCCUUUCUGAGACCGGCUUGGAGGAGGCGGCGGCCCCGGGCCUCUCCGCUCCCGCCCGCGCGCCAGGGCUCAGCCCAUCCUGGCCCCUCCGCAAGCCCGGAGAACUGAGGCUGCGACCACAGGCAUGCGGAGGCCAGCCGGUGAGUCGGCUCUACGGUGGAGCGGGGUCGGUGCCGCCAAGGAGAAGGAGCGCUGUCCCCAGGGCGGGCGGGAGAGGAUGUCUCUGCCCCUUUGGGAGGAGACACCGGGAAGAGGGGAG
rnacentral:lncRNA from 1 species